CGUGAACAAUGGUUACCGGUGAACAACCGGUGACUUGAUAGUAACGGAAGAGGAGGGGACGGCUAACUCUGUGCCAGCAGCCGCGGUAAUACAGAGGUCCCGAGCGUUGUUCGGAUUCACUGGGCGUAAAGGGUGCGUAGGUGGCAUGGUAAGUUUGAUGUGAAAGCUCAGGGCUUAACCCUGAAAUGGCAUUGAAUACUACUGUGCUGGAGGUUUGGAGGGGGGACUGGAAUUCUUGGUGUAGCAGUGAAAUGCGUAGAUAUCAGGAGGAACACCGAUGGCGAAGGCAGGUCUCUGGGCAUUAACUGACGCUGAGGAGCGAAAGCAUGGGGAGCGAACAGGAUUAGAUACCCUGGUAGUCCAUGCCGUAAACGUUGGGCACUAGGUGUGGGGGACAUUCCACGUUUUCCGCGCCGUAGCUAACGCAUUAAGUGCCCCGCCUGGGGAGUACGGCCGCAAGGCUAAAACUCAAAGGAAUUGACGGGGGCCCGCACAAGCGGCGGAGCAUGCGGAUUAAUUCGAUGCAACGCGAAGAACCUUACCAAGGCUUGACAUGGACCGGACCGCCGCAGAAAUGUGGUUUCCCCUUUGGGGCUGGUUUACAGGUGGUGCAUGGUUGUCAUCAGCUCGUGUCGUGAGAUGUUGGGUUAAGUCCCGCAACGAGCGCAACCCUCG
rnacentral:rRNA from 1 species